ensembl:lncRNA
CAGAAACAUAAGAAGAAAAAGGAAGGGGUCCGUCCAAUGAUGAGGAAGAAGCCAAGGAGACGGAGCCUCAGCAGCCCGUUUCGUCGAUCCGUCCAGAGGAAGUCCCGCCCGUCCCGGAGAACCGCUUCCUGAUGAGACGCAGUCCACAGCCUCAGCCUAAAGAGGAGCAGGGGAAGGACAAACAGAAGGAGAAUUCUGGGAAAGAGCGGCAAAGGGAACGGGAGAGGGACAGAGAACGAGACCGAGAGAGAGACAGGGAGAGACCCACGAUGAACUCACGACCAAAUCGCACGCGUCUGGUGAUGACCCGAUCCGGCCGGAG